AUGUAUUCCGUUGAGCGAGCAAUGGCCAAAGCUGCCGCAUCCCUUCUCCCGGGUCUUCUCCCGACCCCGCCGACAAUGCCCUGCCUCAUCAUCCUGCCGUCUUCGUUCGCCUCCAAGCCCAAGCCCGGCCGCGCCGACUCCGUCGAGAGGUGGGACGCGCACAAGAAGGACAAGAAGCCCAAGACCCCAGCCUCGUCGUGCUGCAGCAGCUCAAGUCCCAGGCGCGCCUCCUCCUGCGAGCGUUGGAACAUAAACAAGCAGAUCUCCGGCAGCAGCUGCACGUCCUCGUCGUCUUCGUCAAGCCGGCGAAGCAGCACGAGCCCGUGCGGGAGGUGGGAUAGCAACAAGCAGCUGCCGCCCAGCCGUGCGACCUCCGCUGAUCGCUGGGACAUGCACAAGAAGCCUUGCCCCGCACAAACUGCCGCCAUGAGCCGGAGCCGGACAGGCGACAAAGAGGACCAGGGGGAAGACACAACGGCGAUGGUUCGGAAACCGACAGCGCCGCGCAUUGGCCCCAUGUUCUCUGGCCCGAGCUUCGUCGCCUCGCCUGACCCGAGCAUGCUUCCAAUGCCGACCUUCUUUCGCUCCCGGAACCCGGUAGUGCUUCCCGUACAAGCCCUCUAG
rnacentral:rRNA from 1 species